rnacentral:rRNA from 1 species
UACAUAGGUGGCAAGCGUUAUCCGGAAUUACUGGGCGUAAAGCGUGCGUAGGCGGUUUCUUAAGUUAGAUGUGAAAGCCCGAGGCUUAACCUCGGAACUGCAUUUAAAACUGGGAGACUAGAGUGAAGAAGGGGUGAGUGGAAUUCCUAGUGUAGAGGUAAAAUUCGUAGAGAUUAGGAGGAACACCGGCAGCGAAGGCGGCUCACUGGUCUUUAACUGACGCUGAGGCACGAAAGCGUGGGGAG